rnacentral:rRNA from 1 species
UAACGCGUAUGCAAUCUACCUUUUACAAAGGAAUAGCCCAGAGAAAUUUGGAUUAAUGCCUUAUAGUUUAUGCUUGUGGCAUCACAUACAUAAUAAAGAUUUAUCGGUAAAAGAUGAGCAUGCGUCCCAUUAGCUAGUUGGUAUGGUAACGGCAUACCAAGGCAAUGAUGGGUAGGGGUCCUGAGAGGGAGAUCCCCCACACUGGUACUGAGACACGGACCAGACUCCUACGGGAGGCAGCAGUGAGGAAUAUUGGUCAAUGGAGGCAACUCUGAACCAGCCAUGCCGCGUGCAGGAAGACGGUCCUAUGGAUUGUAAACUGCUUUUAUACAGGAAUAAACCUAUCCUCGUGAGGAUAGCUGAAGGUACUGUAGGAAUAAGGAUCGGCUAACUCCGUGCCAGCAGCCGCGGUAAUACGGAGGAUCCAAGCGUUAUCCGGAAUCAUUGGGUUUAAAGGGUUCGUAGGCGGUUUAAUAAGUCAGUGGUGAAAUCUCCUAGCUUAACUAGGAAAUGGCCAUUGAUACUGUUAGACUUGAAUUAUUGGGAAGUAACUAGAAUAUGUAGUGUAGCGGUGAAAUGCUUAGAUAUUACAUGGAAUACCAAUUGCGAAGGCAGGUUACUAUCAAUACAUUGACGCUGAUGAACGAAAGCGUGGGUAGCGAACAGGAUUAGAUACCCUGGUAGUCCACGCCGUAAACGAUGGAUACUAGCUGUUCGACCGCAAGGUUGAGUGGCUAAGCGAAAGUGAUAAGUAUCCCACCUGGGGAGUACGUUCGCAAGAAUGAAACUCAAAGGAAUUGACGGGGGC